rnacentral:rRNA from 1 species
UUGAUUCUGGCUCAGGAUGAACGCUGGCGGCGCACUUAAGACAUGCAAGUCGAACGGACUUAACCGAAAUAUUUAUAUUUUGGAGCGGUUAGUGGCGGACUGGUGAGUAACGCGUAAGCAAUCUGCCUAUUAGAGGGGAAUAACAGUGAGAAAUCACUGCUAAUACCGCAUAUGCCAUGAACAUCGCAUGAUGAAAAUGGGAAAGGAGUAAUCCGCUAAUAGAUGAGCUUGCGUCUGAUUAACUAGUUGGUGUGGUAAUGGCAUACCAAGGUAACGAUCAGUAGCCGGACUGAGAGGUUGAACGGCCACAUUGGGACUGAGAUACGGCCCAGACUCCUACGGGAGGCAGCAGUCGGGAAUAUUGCGCAAUGGAGGAAACUCUGACGCAGUGACGCCGCGUAUAGGAUGAAGGUUUUCGGAUUGUAAACUAUUGUCAUUAGGGAAGAUAAAAGACAGUACCUAAGGAGGAAGCUCCGGCUAACUACGUGCCAGCAGCCGCGGUAAUACGUAGGGAGCAAGCGUUAUCCGGAUUUAUUGGGUGUAAAGGGUGCGUAGACGGGAGACUAAGUUAGUUGUGAAAGCCCUCGGCUUAACUGAGGAAUUGCAACUAAAACUGGUUUUCUUGAGUGCAGGAGAGGUAAGUGGAAUUCCUAGUGUAGCGGUGAAACGCGUAGAUAUUAGGAGGAACACCAGUGGCGAAGGCGACUUACUGGACUGUAACUGACGUUGAGGCACGAAAGUGUGGGGAGCAAACAGGAUUAGAUACCCUGGUAGUCCACACCGUAAACGAUGGACACUAGGUGUAGGAUGUGUUAAACAUUCUGUGCCGUCGCAAAAGCAGUAAGUAUCCCA